CCUACGGGGGGCAGCAGUGGGGAAUAUUGCACAAUGGGCGAAAGCCUGAUGCAGCAACGCCGCGUGAGCGAGGAAGGCCUUUGGGUCGUAAAGCUCUGUCGAGGAGGAAGAUAAUGACGGUACUCCUCGAGGAAGCCCCGGCUAACUACGUGCCAGCAGCCGCGGUAAUACGUAGGGGGCGAGCGUUAUCCGGAAUUAUUGGGCGUAAAGAGUGCGUAGGUGGUUUUUUAAGCGUGGGGUGAAAGGCAAUAGCUUAACUAUUGUAAGCCCCGCGAACUGGGAGACUUGAGUGCAGGAGAGGAAAGCGGAAUUCCUAGUGUAGCGGUGAAAUGCGUAGAUAUUAGGAGGAACACCAGUGGCGAAGGCGGCUUUCUGGACUGUAACUGACACUGAGGCACGAAAGCGUGGGGAGCAAACAGGAUUAGAUACCCCGGUAGUC
rnacentral:rRNA from 2 species